rnacentral:rRNA from 1 species
AGAGUUUGAUCCUGGCUCAGGACGAACGCUUGCGGCGUGCCUAAGAAAUGCAAGUCGAACGGGAGGGUAACCUCUAGUGGCGAACGGUCGCGUAACACGUAGGCAACCUGCCUCGGAGUGGGGGACAACAGCCUGAAAGGGCUGCUAAUACCGCAUGUUAUUGUUUAGUGGCAUCACUUUACAAUAAAAGCUUAAUGCGC